rnacentral:lncRNA from 1 species
AAGGUAACUCCAUAGCUGGGAGCCAAGUCUCGAAGCCCCAUGAGGGGAAGUGGAUACAUCUCAGAAUUGGGUUUCCUGAUACACACGACUGCAUCCUUCAUCUGCCAGGCCCUGGCAUUGUUUACUGGAGAAGAUGUCAUAGGAAAUUGGGCUAUGUCAUUGAGCCACUGGAGUCACACAUGAACAGCCAUUUGGAGAUUCUGGAAUUGAUGGUU